AGCCGGUGUAGCUCAGCGGUAGAGCAAUAGUUUUGUAAACUAUCGGUCAGGAGUUCGAUCCUCCUCGCCGGCUU
rnacentral:tRNA from 1 species